GGUAUAGCUCGGUGGUAGAGUACCUGCUUAGCAUACACAAGGCCCUGGGUUCAAUCCUCAGCACCA
rnacentral:tRNA from 1 species